rnacentral:lncRNA from 1 species
GACUUCCCCUUGUAUGGAUUCUUGUGCGAUGCAGCAACGUGAAUGCUCUCUUGCUGUAUGACGGCUUAGCUUCGUUUUGGUAUUAGGGUUCUGUCUUAAGUAGUCUCCAAGUCUCCAAAGCUUCCUUUUCAGACCAUGUUUCCUUCUUUGACUAGAAUCAAUGUUUGGGCCAGCUUUUGAAUGUCUUCCACAUAUAAUCUGGACUUGGCUUUUGGGAAAAUUAUAUUAAUGAUGUCACUCUUCAAAAUCGUGCAAAAAACCCCCAAGAAAGCUUCUCAAAAUCCAGCCCAAACACUGCCUCGAACUUGACUGCUGCACAGCUUUCCCGGAACUGCUGAUUUUCUGUCCAACUUUGGAGCUUCAUAACUCCCAGAUGAAAUCACCGAUUUGGAUGAUUCUUGAGUCCAAAUUGAUCUACAAAUGCUCCUCUACAAAUCUGGGCAGUCAUCUUGGUGAAACCGUUCUCGAAACCGCAUGGAAAUUAGCCUUAAAAACCGGAGAAAAUAAGCAGAACCCAUUUUUCAGCUUUUUUGUGUUUGCAGCUUCUGUUUUGGUGAAGUGGUUCCAUCGCCUUUCCUUGAUAUUUUUGACCAUAUGAGUAAUCAAUCUCCAUCAAUGACAUCUCUACUUCGUAUUGGAAGCCUUGCUUGUAUCACUUGAGCACAUAUUUGCAUUAUCUUGCUCCACGAAGUACCUAAGAAGAUAACAAAGUUAAAACAAUCUUUUUAAAGGAAAAUAGCCAAGUUAAAUGCAAAGGUUAAACUAUAAAAUUGUCGCAUUUUAUGCUCCUAUCAAAUUCCCCCACACUUAGCUUUUGCUAGUGUCACAUCCCGACCCUUAUAUUUUUACCUUAUUUACUAGCGUGAUUAUAAUAAGAAUUUUACCGUCUCGAUCAUUGAGUAAAUAGUUUAAUUGGUCCCUAGAGGGGUUUCGGGGACGAUUAUGUGCGGAGGAUUAUUCGUAUGAGGAAAAUACAACGACGGUAAAAAUAGUAAAUUUUAGCUAGAAAAAGGUAAUUUUUAUUCGGGUAUUAUUUUCGGGGUGUUUUAUUUUGGAAGUUUGGGUAAUAAAUGGUGUGGACCGGUUUGGGGUGUGAGGCCCAAAACCCUUUUGCUUUUCUCUCUCCCUCCCUCCCGAUUUUUCUUCUCCUCCCACCCGAUUUUCUUCUCUCU